rnacentral:rRNA from 1 species
GUGUCAGCAGCCGCGGUAAGACGAACCGAGCGAACGUUGUUCGGAAUCACUGGGCUUAAAGGGCGCGUAGGCGGGCUGUCAAGUCUGGGGUGAAAUCCCGCGGCUCAACCGUGGAACUGCCUCAGAUACUGACGGCCUCGAGGGAGGUAGGGGCGAGCGGAACGGAUGGUGGAGCGGUGAAAUGCGUUGAUAUCAUCCGGAACUCCGGUGGCGAAAGCGGCUCGCUGGACCUUUUCUGACGCUGAGGCGCGAAAGCUAGGGGAGCAAACGGGAUUAGAUACCCCGGUAGUCCUAGCCCUAAACGAUGGGUACUGGGUAGUAGACUAGACAUGGGUUUACUGCCGCAGCAAAAGUGCUAAGUACCCCGCCUGGGGAGUAUGGUCGCAAGGCUGAA